UCAUGAACAACGCAAAUAUCACGUUCGGGUUCUUCCACACUUGCACAAAACGAGUACCUGGUACGAGGUUACGUCUUCGGGCGUGGGCUCACGACUGCCGGGGACCUGAGGAACGAAAACGGAGAAGAAAGCGAGCAAUCUUGGGUGCGGUGCUUUCCUGGCUCAAAAGGCCACAUGGAGGGGACCGCAAUGAUUGAGCGUACAU
rnacentral:sRNA from 1 species